AGAGUUUGAUCCUGGCUCAGGACGAACGCUGGCGGCGUGCUUAACACAUGCAAGUCGAACGGUAAGGCCCUUUUGGGGGUACACGAGUGGCGAACGGGUGAGUAACACGUGGGUGAUCUGCCCUGCACUUUGGGAUAAGCCUGGGAAACUGGGUCUAAUACCGAAUAUUCCUUGCUGGUCGCAUGGCCUGGUGGGGGAAAGCUUUUGCGGUGUGGGAUGGGCCCGCGGCCUAUCAGCUUGUUGGUGGGGUGAUGGCCUACCAAGGCGACGACGGGUAGCCGGCCUGAGAGGGUGUCCGGCCACACUGGGACUGAGAUACGGUCCAGACUCCUACGGGAGGCAGCAGUGGGGAAUAUUGCACAAUGGGCGCAAGCCUGAUGCAGCGACGCCGCGUGAGGGAUGACGGCCUUCGGGUUGUAAACCUCUUUCAGUACAGACGAAGCGAAAGUCGACGGCCCUGAACAGAAGAAGCACCGGCCAACUACGCGCCAGCAGCCGCGGUA
rnacentral:rRNA from 1 species